GGUUUAAAUUCCGAUACAGUACUUAUCCGCUGUUUGUAUGCUUAUCCAGUUACAAUGAUGAUUGAUUUUGUAACCUUGAUUCAAUCAACUCAUUUUAGGUCAACAUUUUAUGUUAUUUCUUUGAACGGUAAGAAUUUGGACUUGCUAAGUCUCAGUAAUUUAUUCAUGCAUUGAAUUUGUGCUUUCCAUCAAAUUACGCCUCUGAUUUCUCAUCUUAUCUCCUAAGUAGAAUGAUAGUUGGCUUGAUUUUGUGGGUUCGGCUUAUCAACAAGAGUCGUCUACUGAAAUUGAUCAUCAUUCAUGGCCAAAAAAAUAACAUUUAUAGCUAUUAAAAGAACAAAGUUUAUAGAGACUAAAAUGCUAGUGAAAAAAGUACAAAUGAUUUAUUAUGUUAAGGUAUUGACUAAAUUUGUAAUUUUGUUUGUGCAGGUCUCGCUCGGUGUAGUUGGAGACACUCGUAUCAUAAAGCAUUUUUGUAGAUCUUCCCCGUGGUCAUUAGAGGUGACAUCUAAUAUUUUUUUCCCCUCUUGUUCUACAAGCUAUUUGAAGAAAAAUGUUCCGCUCUAAGUCAGAUUCCUCCGCGUGACGAUGAUGAUGAUGGCGACGAUGAUAACGAUGAUGCUGGAUUGGUGAGGCGAAAUAUGUAUCGGAGAAAAAAGAAGAGAAGAGUUGAUGGGGAUGAAAGCUUUUGUGGAGAAAGAAGAUGAGUUGAUGUAUCUUAGUUUUUUUUUAAAUUUAACUCCUUGUUUAACUUCUUGGAUUAUUAGACUUUAUAAAUAUUUGAGUGUUGAACUUGUAUAA